AACGAACGCUGGCGGCAGGCUUAACACAUGCAAGUCGAACGCCCCGCAAGGGGAGUGGCAGACGGGUGAGUAACGCGUGGGGACGUACCUUUCGCUUCGGAAUAGUCCCGGGAAACUGGGUUUAAGACCGGAUACGCCGUAUUGGGAAAGAUUUAUCGGCGAAAUAUCGGCCCGCGUUGGAUUAGCUAGUUGGCGGUGUAAGAGACCACCAAGGCGACGCUCCAUAGCUGGUCUGAGAGGAUGAUCAGCCACACUGGGACUGAGACACGGCCCAGACUCCUACGGGAGGAAGCAGUGGGGAAUCUUGGACAAUGGGCGCAAGCCUGAUCCAGCCAUGCCGCGUGAGUGAAGAAGGCCUUAGGGUUGUAAAACUCUUUCGCCGGAGAAGAUAAUGACGGUAUCCGGAGAAGAAGCCCCGGCUAACUUCGUGCCAGCCGCCGCGGUAAAAC
rnacentral:rRNA from 1 species